UUGAUUUAAAGCCCGCGGGACCCGGCCCGUUAGGCCCGCAGCGGGGCGGGUGCGGAUCAAAAAAAAUUCAAUUUCAAAAUUUGCGGAUCACGCGGGUUGGCCCAAUAGAUAGCGGGGCGGGCGCGGGUUUUAAAAAUAUGGGUAGCGGGUUAGCGGGCACCCGCAUAUGUUAAAAACAUGUCAUUUUGGUGUAGUCAACUUCAUGUUGUUUUUGUGUUUUAGGUAGUUAGUGUAUGUCGUGUUUUGGUCUUAGGCUGUAACUGUAUGUUGUUUUGCAUUUUUCAGGGGAAUCGAAGUGUAGAAAACCCUAAUUCUUCAUCUCAUUUCUCAGCCGAACCCUAAAGUCUCACUCUUUCAAAAUUUCUCUUGGUUUUUCGAUCUCUCUACAAAUCAUUGAUUCUCUCUACAAAUCAUUGAUUCUCUCUGAGUCUCUACUUUUCAGUUAUCAAUCAGUCUCUGCCUCUGUCUCUCUCUCGCUGAAGAACAAGGUGCUAGCAUGGAUUCCAAUAAAUAAAAUAGAGCUGAUGCUGUGGUGGUGGCAAGAACAAGAAAGAAGAUCGUAUGUAAUUUUUUAAGGCUGUAUUUCAGUCUGGACAAGAACUUAUGGUUUGUGUGUUGUUGUAAACUAUGGUUUGGUGUUUGUUGCAAUUUGAAAAACUUGUCUUUGUCGCUGAAAAUUAAAAUCUGGAUCGGUUCAAUUUGUUUGUCAUGAAUUUUUUGUGAUUUAGCUUUUUUUUUA